rnacentral:rRNA from 1 species
CCUACGGGAGGCAGCAGUGGGGCAUAUUGCACAAUGGGGGAAACCCUGAUGCAGCGACGCCGCGUGAGUGAAGAAGUAGUUCGUUAUGUAAAGCUCUAUCAGCAGGGAAGAAAAUGACGGUACCUGAGUAAGACGCCCCGGCUAACUACGAGCCAGCAGCCGCGGUAAUACGUAGGGGGCAAGCGUUAUCCGGAUUGAAUGGGGGUAAAGGGAGCGUAGACGGCAGUGCAGGUCUGGAGUGAAAGGCGGGGGCUCAACCCCCGCACUGCUCUGGAAACGGUACGGCUGGAGUGCAGGAGAGGUAAGUGGAAUGCGCGGUGUAGCGGUGAAAUGCGUAGAUAUCAGGAGGAACACCAGUGGCGAAGGCGGCUUACUGGACUGUAACUGACGUUGAGGCUCGAAAGCGUGGGGAGCAAACAGGAUUAGAUACCCUUGUAGUC